UUUCCUGGAAACACAGAAGAGUCUCCUAGUUUUGGGCCAAGUUCAGCUGAGGGAACACUCCUUGGAGUGACCACAGCCCUAAAUGCCCUGAAAAGGGCCUGAAUUAGCCCCCUCCCUCAUCUGGCAGUUUAUUCCUGUUGGGGAGGACCUGCCCUUUUCUGUUCCCUGAUGACAGAGUCACCACAGGCACGGCAAGGGAUCCUCAGCAUGCCCCAGAUGGAGACACACCUGAAGUGACUGGAUUCUGCCAAAGGAGCGGUGUCUCAGCUCCAUCCAGCCUCUGUUUUGGUCAGCCUUUCCAAGGCGUCAGGAGCAGGAAAUCCCAGCCAGGACUCUGGCUGUAUCCUAUCCCAGCCCUCCCCAGGUAAGAACUGCCCCAGUGCCCUGCCUAAGGCGUCAGGAGCAGGAAAUCCCAGCCAGGACUCUGGCUGUAUCCUAUCCCAGCCCUCCCCAGGUAAGAACUGCCCCAGUGCCCUGCCUAAGGCAUCAGGAGCAGGAAAUCCCAGCCAGGACUGGCUGUAUCCUAUCCCAGCCCUCCCCAGGUAAGAACUGCCCCAGAGCCCCACUGGGACUGCCCCAGUGCCCUGCCUAAGGCAUCAGGAGCAGGAAAUCCCAGCCAGGACUGGCUGUAUCCUAUCCCAGCCCUCCCCAGGUAAGAACUGCCCCAGAGCCCCGCUGUGACUGCCCCAGUGCCCUGCCUAAGGCGUCAGGAGCAGGAAAUCCCAGCCAGGACUGGCUGUAUCCUAUCCCAGCCCUCCCCAGGUAAGAACUGCCCCAGAGCCUGGCUGUGACUGCCCCAGAGCCCUGCCUAAGGCGUCAGGAGCAGGAAAUCCCAGCCAGGACUGGCUGUAUCCUAUCCCAGCCCUCCCCAGGUAAGAACUGCCCCAGAGCCCUGCCUAAGGCGUCAGGAGCAGGAAAUCCCAGCCAGGACUGGCUGUAUCCUAUCCCAGCCCUCCCCAGGUAAGAACUGCCCCAGAGCCCCGCUGGGACUGCCCCAGUGCCCUGCCUAAGGCAUCAGGAGCAGGAAAUCCCAGCCAGGACUCUGGCUGUAUCCUAUCCCAGCCCUCCCCAGGUAAGAACUGCCCCAGAGCCCCACUGGGACUGCCCCAGUGCCCUGCCUAAGGCGUCAGGAGCAGGAAAUCCCAGCCAGGACUCUGGCUGUAUCCUAUCCCAGCCCUCCCCAGCCCCAGCCCCUGCCCCAGAGCCCCACUGGGACUGCCCCAGCGCCCUGCCUAAGGCGUCAGGAUCAGGAAAUCCCAGCCAGGACUCUGGCUGUAUCCUAUCCCAGCCCUCCCCAGGUAAGAACUGCCCCAGAGCCUGGCUGGGACUGCCCCAGUGCCCUGCCUAAGGCGUAAGGAGCAGGAAAUCCCAGCCAGGACUGGCUGUAUCCUAUCCCAGCCCUCCCCAGGUAAGAACUGCCCCAGAGCCUGGCUGUGACUGCCCCAGUGCUCUGCCUAAGGCGUCAGGAGCAGGAAAUCCCAGCCAGGACUGGCUGUAUCCUAUCCCAGCCCUCCCCAGGUAAGAACUGCCCCAGAGCCCCGCUGUGACUGCCCCAGUGCCCUGCCUAAGGCGUCAGGAGCAGGAAAUCCCAGCCAGGACUGGCUGUAUCCUAUCCCAGCCCUCCCCAGGUAAGAACUGCCCCAGAGCCUGGCUGUGACUGCCCCAGUGCCCUGCCUAAGGCAUCAGGAGCAGGAUAUCCCAGCCAGGACUCUGGCUGUAUCCUAUCCCAGCCCUCCCCAGCCCCAGCCCCUGCCCCAGAGCCCACCUGCAUGCCAGGAGGAGGGGGGUCUCUGCGGACCAGCAUGCUGAGCUCCUGGGCGUUGCAGAGCAGGGCGCUGACGGCCUCCUGGUGCGUGGCGUGGCGCAGGUCGGUGCCGUUCACCUCCAGGAUCCUGUCCCCGACGCGGAGCCCGCUGCGCGACGCCAGCCCCCGCGGGAUCACCUGCGGGCACACCAGCACCUCCAGAGAAGGGCAGUCCUCUCGGGAGGGGCUUUACAGCCACUUCUGUGAGCCAGAGAGAAGUCUGAUAACAGCACCCAUGGGUACCCCUGGGAGAAUUUCCUGCCAAGGUCGCUGACACAGAGAGCACGAAGGAAAGAAGGAUAAAUAAAGAAACCUGCAACUGCCUAUUCCAAUGAGCACUCUGUCUGCCUCUUGUGAUCAGUGAGUAAAGUGUGAAUUUAUGAGUUUUGUAAGAAUGCUGUUGAAACCCUGAACACCCAGUGCACCACAGCACAUUCUGUCUGCUCUGGGGUGCCCUGAUCCCAGGGCAGCUCUGACUCUGACCCUCACUCCUGGAGAAAGUUUCCCAGACUUCCAGACAGACUGGAACCCACAAAAGUGUGCAAUAGAUUAUAGAGAGCAGUGUGGGUGUGUCACUGGGUGAGAAAUUGAGGGUUUGGGGUUUUUAGUGUGUUGUGGAUGGAAGGAGAUGGAGAGCACAGGGUGUUGUCCUGGGUUUCUUCUUCACCUUCUUCUUCCUCCUUCUCCUUGGGUUUGGGUGGCAUUUUGUAAUUGGGCAGAAAAGUCCCCAUUGCAGCUCUGUGGGAUCAGUCAUUGGGUUAAAAGGGAAAAUAAUCCAGGUGUCAGCUCUUAAUGGGAUAGUUUAGCCUUAAAACACCCUGUACCAAGAGAUUGUUGGCCAUUUUGUGCCUUCUAAUGAAAGGCUGCCCAACUGACAGCAGUGAGACUGUUUUACUGCUAGGAAAUAAUUAACACCUGAGUCUGAACAUGAAUUCCUGUCUCAAGCGCCUUCAGUCCAGACCCAGAGAAACCCACAGCUGGGACCCUGACAGAAUGUAUAAAAAGCAUGGAUGCUGUAAUAAAAACAGUUUGAAGCCUUC